CUUUGAUUAACACACCUGAGUCCAUUUUUCUACUUUAAAGUGCCAAUCUAUGCAGGGAAUAAAUCAGCAGGAGUUUGUGAGAUAACUGGGUGCUGACCAGUGUUUCAGAGGUUUGCAAGUAUCACCAUGUUGCCUGCAGUUGUUCUUUGGAUAUUAUCAGCAGUGAUCUACACAGAAGGAGGCCAACAUCAGAUAGCGCAUGCUGAGGAAGACCAAGACACCCUUGCAGACAGCGGUGACAACAGAAUCACUCCAGUGAUCCUUGCCAACAAAGAGUUUGCCUUCUGUCUGUGCAGCAAGUUAUUAGAUCAUGAUGGCUCUCAAGGCAAAAAACAUCUUCUCUCCAGUUAGUGUCUCUGCUGCCUUGGCUGCUCUGUCUGUGGGGGAACGGGGGAAGACCCAUCAGCAGUUGUUUAGUGGUUUGGGUUUCAACAGCUCAGCUGACUCAGACAGAUGUAGACCAUCUCCUUGAAUAUUUCCACAUUUUGUCAUGUGACGGCAACAGACUUCAUUGUAUUUUAUUGUUUUAAGUUGUGAAGUGGAAUAAAAAGGAUUUAUGGUUUUAAAUAUU